rnacentral:lncRNA from 1 species
GUUUCGCCUCCUGGCCCAGGGAGCUUGGCACUUGUGGUUCCCACUCUGUCUUUGUGAAGACUUAAGGCUGCUGCAGGCUGCCCAAGGCAGCACAAAAGAACUCCCCGUCGCCCAGCAGUGCUGGCCUCCACCCGGGACAGCCACCUCCAGCACAGGUCACUCCUGGGCCUCCAGGCUCACCUAUCUCCUCACAAACUCUUCAGUCAGAAAUCAGAGUCCUAAUGUAAAGCCCAGCCAGGGACGUCUUCCUCCAGGAAUCACUCUCUCUCCACUCCACAACCUGGUCAUGAGGGGGAGAAGAUCUUUCCAAAGUAUCCCACCUGAAUUCUCAAUGACAGGCCCCAUACAAAGCAUCAGGUGGCGUCUCUGAUAACAGGGAUCUGUCGGUGACAUUGGGUACACACCAGGCUUUAACAGAAACAAGACCAAGAAGACAUUAAAACUCUAAAGUUAAAUUAAUAGAGAAGAUUCUCCGAGAUGCUAAACCACGUGGACCUGGAAAGUCUUCCCUCCUUGUUGGCAACCGGGUGCUUGCCUCCUGCCGUCCUGGCUGAGGACCGUGCCUUAGCUCCUGCUCUACAAAAUACAAUGUUGCCAUGACAUAACGCUGGUCUCCAGGGAGCCUCUCAGCCUCGGUGGGAUCUUAUGAAUUUGGAUAUUCAAGAGAGCAGCUUGGACCCACUGUGGCUGGGAGAAUAAACUGCCCACUAAGAUCUGUGGGAGAGUGAAUUAUCCACUAAGGGCUGAGUGGGCUGUGCUUCGCCAACUUUGUUUUCUGUUUAUUUGGAACCGUUACACCGCAGCAGGGGCCUCUCUGGAGUGACCUUUUCAUGAUGCAAAAAUUAGUUUGGGGAAGUUCAAAUUCCCCAAAUGGAACAAUAAUCAGAUGAAAUGACCACAAAGGAAUAAAUUUGCUUCCGAAAUAAAAAGGUACUUAACAAAUGAUUCAUCAUUCCACGCUCUGACCUUAAAUAGAUCUCUCUUUGGCUUCACUGACUAGAAGUCAGUUCUUUUGCUGCCUUUGUUUUUUGUAUAUAACAAGGUUUGUGUGUUUCAUGACAUAGUCUUACUGCUUGUUCAUGUUAUGUCGUAGUUCCCCAAAACAAUCCAGCAAAGUAAGAACUGGUGUUUAGUAAGUGCCUAUGAUGAGCUGAGAGCUCCAUCGCAUGCCUCCUAUACAUUAUCAUAGCGAAUAUUCCAAACUUAGAGGUGGAUGUUCUUGUUCCCAUUUAACAGAUGGCAAAGCUGAGGACUAAAGUAUUCGCAUAAUUCACAUAAUUCUGAGUCAUUUAACUUACAGAACCUGGAUUUCUAACUCACAGUCUGACUCCAUAGUGUUCUUAUUUAUCAAGGUACACACACACACACAAAACACAACAGAAACACUCACACACACAUACUCACAUACCACCACACACACAUAUUCACAUGCCACACCAUAUCAUACACACAGACACACUCCCCCCACACACUCAUACACCCUUACACACCACAUGAGACACAUGCACACUCACACAUAUAUAUUAGGUAAAUGUCAAAACUAACUACUAAAAUUAGUAUAAUCGUGCUAAAAAUGCCAUCAUUUAAAAUUAUGCAGUAAAAAUACCUAAGACAAAAAAUGUGUAGAUUUUUUUGUUUAAAAAAUCUAUCUGUUCUGAAAUACUGAUUUUUUUUUGUAUACUAAAUGGUGGGUUUUUAAGUUGCCUAGUAAGUAAGUUUUGUUCUCAGCUGUCUCCCAGAAGAGCUCACCAAAAAUACUGCACAGAAGCGAAGGUGUGGGGGCCCAUUUUAAACCAAAUUAUUCUCCUCAAGGCAAAGCUAUGAAAGAGGAUGGCAGCUUGCUGCAAGCCAGACAUGAUGGUUGCAUCAUGAAUCCCACUAAAGAGGCCCAGGCAGGGGGAUUAUGAGUUCUAGGCCAGUGUAAUUACACAGGCAGUGGGGCACGAGUCAGAUUACAGCCAACCCUUUACAGACUGCAGAACUGAAAAAAAAAGAAAAAGAAAAGCAAACGAUUGUGUUGGUUCUCAUUGAUGUAGCCAAUGGGGGGAGGGGGGGCUGCAAGGCCAAAGGCACUGCGCUCUCUCAGGACUCCUGCACAUGCCACUUGAGUCUCUAAUCUCAGAUGACAUUAGUUAGGGAACACAGAUAAUGAAACAGGUAGAGCAUGCUUCCCAAGUUCCCCAAGAGCUCCAGUUUAGCUCUUAUCUGACAGCACAGGGCACCCCAACUUUUGUGCCUCAAACUCUCAGGAAGACUUUCUUGUGAAGUCUUUUUCUAGUCAGAUAUGGUUUUAUUUAUUUAUUUAUUUAUUUAUUUAUUUAUUUAUUUAGUCUUCAGAGUUAGAUUUCAUACGGCACUUUGGAAAACCCACACCAGCAUAUGUCAAUGAUGGGAUUUUUAUUUGUAUGGUUAAAUGCCAUGGUUAGUCAAGAUCUAUUUUACCUAAGCCAAUUGAAAAACACAAAUAAAG